UUUGCCUUGCCGCUGCGCGUCGGCCGAAGGAAGCGGGUGGUGUCUGUGCUUCACCUUGAGUCACAGCAGUGGCUUUUGUUGUAAUUAAAAGUGUUGUCCUUACCAAGCCCCCCAAAUAGAGGACAGGAACCAAAACUCCUAAGCAAGUGUGCGGCUCGUUUUAGGACCACACGGACUCCGGCAAAUACUGCAGAAGUAUUACGAGUUUUAAAAUCGCGAGUAUUUUCAGAUGGAGGGAACUCAAAGAACGAAUGUGGGAGAAAAGUAAGGGGAGGAGGAAGGUUCUCCUCUUCACUCCCUGGUAUUUCUUGCAGAAACAGACAAAGAUUUAAAAUUUUCUGCCAGGAACCUAGUGCAAAAAGCAGUGAAAGAAAGUGGGACCGUAUGCAGUAUGUGAGCAAAGGAGUUGGAGCGGGGGAGGCAGAUACUAUUUUGAUUUCACUUUAGCCUGUAACAGAGGUAACUCACAGGGCAAGGGAACCAAGAAGGAGAAUGGACAAAACUAAUACCCAGAGAGGGAUAAGACAGUGACACAAUUCUGUGACUUCUAGGACAAGUGGAGGUCUCCAUUUAAAAACCACUCUAAUGUUGAAUGAAUCUUUAACAGCAGCAAAAUAUCUUGAGGAAAUGGGGGCUUCGGUUGUUCCUGCUGCUUCCUGGCUUCCUGUACCAGAGACAUCAGACAAAGGCUCAUUUUUCAUUUCCAUAUACAACACUGAAGACAAGAUCUACAAUAAAAAAUAAGGCAACACCCACCCCCACCCCCAAAAUAGCCUUUCAGACACAUGCAGUGGAUUAAUAAGGAAGACAUACAUAACUUGCUUAUUGAUCUAGCCCAAACUUUGACAUAGUCUCCCUUACCCUGAAGUCAUAUCUUUACUACACUAUACUGAAUUGAAUUUAGCUCCUACAGUUUCUUAAAUACGACAACCGGGAACAAUGAGAUUAUAUACAAGAACUAUACAAGGAUCAUGAAACUUAAUAAAAUUUAGAGAAAAAAAAUCUAGAAAUGUGAGAGUGAUUCAGGUGAGACAUGUCACCUCAUUGACCAUGGGGUUCAGUCCACUCACUAAUUUGGCUGACCAGAUUUCCAUGUGUACCUUCUGGAAGCUGCCCAUCUGGUAGAAAAAAGACAAUCUUAACUGUAAAAGAAGAAGAAGGAGAAGAACAGCAACAAUAGUUUUUUUCAGUUCAUAUAGUCCAGUAAGUGUGAUACUUCCCCCAAAAAAUAUUUUCAGAAAUUAAGAAUUGAUGUAAAGUAUCUUUCUCCCUGGAGGGAAUCAGAAAGUCAGAUGCUCUGUCCUUUGUACAUGGGCAACACUUUCUCUUACCUGGACUUUCUCUCUCUCACCUGGACAAAAAGGUAUGAUGAUCAUUGCCUUUCUUAGUAUGAAAACCAUUCAAAUAAGUAAAACCUAUGCUCAACCAAAACUCUCACUUCUAUCCACUUGUCUUAGAGCAUUAAAAGACCAAUUGCUACUCUAAUUCCAUGAAAACUUGUAAAUCAUAUAGGGCAUAUGUGACGACCCUGCUAAGAAGAGAAUUUGACCAACUCGUCCCUAGUUCUCUCAGAAGAUACCCUCAGAAGCUCAAUACUAAAGGAAACUUCAGUCCCGGAUCCUCUAAGUGCGUUCCUUGCAUGUGCAUGAGAUGUUUUGGCAGCUCUGUGGAGCUUUCAGAAGCCUUGAACAGAGAAAAUAAGAAAGAAUGGCAUUCCAGGGAAUAAACAAGUUUGACCUCAAUUGGACAAAAGGAGGCACAAAGCCUGGAGAAGGAAGAAACAGAAUAGGUAAAACAGAACACACCCUGUAACACCAGGGGAAAGUAGCAACCUUAUAAAUACAAACAUGUUGGACAGCAAACGUACCAGUGCUGUGCGUGAGAAAGUGAUUCAAGGAAGAGAGAAAGCCCUGCACAUCGGGUGAGAAUCACAUGCAUCAGGGAAGGAAGAAAUCGCAGAGGGGAACCUGCUGCCUACUUGUGUGCCCGCCCAGCUGGCUUGGCCUCAGUGCUGCAUCCAGCAACCAGGAAGCCACCGUGGGAAAGCCAGCCCUAAAUGCACAAGAGGCCAAGGAGCUCGGUUUCCUGAAGGAUCCCUGCCUCCUGAAGCUGGCAACAACAUCCCUUCAUCUGGCUGGAUAAAGCAGGGCAUCUUUCUUUCACGAGAAACAAGAGGUGUUUGUUUUUUUUUAAUUCAGAUUUUAUUAAUCCCACAGGUUUGAGAGAGGUGGCAUGGGAAAAUCAAAUGUUAGCUAAUUAACUGCUUCCUAGGAUCCAAUCA